AUGGGUCUGGUACAAGGGCAACAAAGUUGCUGUUCCACAAGGCCCAAAGCAGCAGUCCCCAGGCACCAAGCAGAAGGCCUACAGCUUGCCUGGCAUCCUGGGCCACCUUUGGGACUGCCUUGUGCAAAGAGGGAGAACCUGGCUCCUUACAGCUCCCUCGACAAUUUUCUCCAUUCUCUGGCUGCUGACAACUGCCCGUGCCCACUGGAGAAGAUUAAGAAGACCUCGGGGACAGGGAACGGGACAAGUGGACCCAGCUUCCUUAGGAACAGAGGAAACGGACAACAUAAAUGCUCUCGACCUGCUCUGCCAGAUGGAUGCCUACAUAACCUUAAUGGAGAGACUUAUGACGAUCCUCAUGCAGCACCACGUGAAAAAUGUCAGGAGCCAGCAGUGCAGGAAGACGGCGCACGGCACGGGGGGCAGGAAGAGUCCCUCCACAGACUCCUGAGGGAGCUGGCAGAGGUGACUGCCAAGCCGCUCUCGGCCAUCCACCAGCGCUCCUGAUUAACUGGAGAGGUCAACAAGGCCAAGUGGCGGGUCCUGC
rnacentral:lncRNA from 7 species